AUGCGCAAUAUCUACAAGGUCCUGGCCAGCCAGUACGACCCCCUAGGGUUCAUCUUACCCUACACAACCAGAGCGAAGGUAAUCAUCCGCCAUCUUUGGGACAAGCAAAGGGGUUGGGAUGACCCACAUCUACCUCAGGAGCUCAUGCAGCAGUGGACAGCCUGGGAGGAAGAGUUGCAGUUUCUGCCUGAAGUUACUCUUCCUCGACCAUAUGUGCCUAAGCAAGUGGACACCUUCAGCUGUCAGAGAGAGGUACACAUAUUUUGUGAUGCCUCCGAGGAAGCUUAUGGCUCAGUAGCUUACCUCCGGACCACUGGCAGAAAUGGAGAAGUGCAUCUGUCGUUCUUGGUGGCCCGGUCCAGGGUUGCCCCCAAGCGGUUUCACUCUAUGCCCGGAUUGGAGCUCUGUGCUGCACUCACUGGGGCCCAGCUCUCACAAGUGCUGGAAAGGGAGCUCACCCUUAGAAUCGACCAGACGGUCCUAUGGUCUGAUUCUACAACAGUGCUGACAUGGCUGAGGUCUGAAUCCUGCCGAUUCAAGGUCUUCGUUGGCACUCGUGUAGCCGAGAUACAAGAGCUGACAGACAGGCACUCCUGGAGAUACGUCGACUCUGGAAGGAAUCCAGCCAAUGAUGUGACACGUGGGAAGAAGCUGAAGGAGCUCGCUGUACCAAAUAGAUGGAGCCAAGGACCAUCCUUUCUCCUGCACAGUCCAGACUCCUGGCCAGAAGAUCUCACGGUUGACCAAGCAGAUGAUGCCGCGGAGCUGCGCAAAGCUGUGUUCUGUGGGACCACUGCAGCUGCUCCGUCAGGUCAGCCAACUUCAGAUUUGAGCCGCUACAGCACCUGGAGUGAGAUGUUAGAGGUUACAGCGCAGGAGCUACAUGGGGCGGCCCAACCAGAUGGUCGUCCCACUGCUGAGGACUAUCGCAGGGCAGAGAGGCUAAUCCUACAGAGGGCCCAGAUGGAUAGUUUUCCGGAGGAGUACAAUCUGUUGAAAGUCGGUAAGCCAGUUCCCAGGAGCAGUCGUCUUCUCUCUCUGUCACCCGAGGUGGAUGAGACCAGACAGCUCAUUUGUGUUGGAGGACGACUUCGUCGAUCUGAAGAUUUGGCACUGGAGACACUCCAUCCGAUUAUCCUAGACCCAAGCCACCCAGUGACCAAACUCCUGGUCCAAGACUUUGACAGCCGCCUCCAUCAUCCUGGCCCAGAGCGGGUGUUCGCAGAGCUUCGGCGCUCCUACUGGAUUCUGCGAGGGCGUGAAGCUGUCCGGCGCUACCAACACCUUUGUGCUGAUUGUCAAAGGUGGAGAGCUAGACCUACAGUGCUGAAGAUGGCAGACCUGCCAGCAGCCCGGCUACGUCUAUAUAAACCAGCUUUCUACUCUACGGGAAUGGACUGCUUCGGGCCGUUUGAGGUCAAGGUUGGACGGCAUAUUGAGAAGAGAUGGGGAAUCAUAUUCAAGUGCCUUACCACCAGGGCAGUCCACUUGGAUGUUUUUAACACCAUUGAUGCAGACGCAUUCCUGAUGGCUCUUUGGCGAUUUGUUGCUCGUAGAGGUACACCUGCCGAGCUGUUUUCAGACCAGGGGACCAACUUCAGGGGAGGUGAGAGGGAACUGCGUGAGACCUUUCUGAAGAUGUGCCCGGAACUACAACAGCUUCUAGCACCCCAGAAGAUCAGCUUCCGCUUUAACCCUCCAGGUGCCCCACACUUUGGGGGAGCAUGGGAAAGGGAGAUCCGGUCGGUUAAGUAUGCCCUCUAUGCCACGGUUGGUGCUCAGUCAGUUCCAGAAGAAGUGCUUCGCACUGUACUCAUUGAGGUGGAAGGGAUACUCAAUAGUAAACCCCUGGGGUAUGUGUCUUCCGAUGCCAGAGAUGCAGAUCCAGUGACUCCCAAUGUUCUUCUGAUGGGGCGGCCGGAUGGAUCCCUACCUCAGAUAGUAUACCCAGAGAAUGAGCUCCUCAGUCGCCGUCGCUGGAAGCAUUCCCAGGUGUUGGCUGACCAUUUCUGGUCACGUUUCAUCCAUCAGUACAUUCCCAGUCUGCAGACUCGCCAGAAGUGGCAAUCGACAGCAGCUGAUUUGGCUGAGGACUCUGUGGUGAUGAUCGCUGAUCCACAGCUUCCCAGGGGUCUCUGGCCUGUGGGGAGGGUGAUUAAAACUCAUCCUAGCCCUGAUGGACGCAUCAGGUCGGCUGACGUGAAGGUGAAGGGGAGAGUCUACACUCGGCCAGUUGCCAGACUGGUUGUCCUCCCUGCGCUGCCCUCUGGAGAAGAUGAGGACAGCUCUGCGUCGAACUCACCACAACCCUAG
ensembl:lncRNA